GAUGAACGCUGGCGGCGUGCCUAAUACAUGCAAGUCGAGCGAACAGACGAGGAGCUUGCUCCUCUGACGUUAGCGGCGGACGGGUGAGUAACACGUGGAUAACCUACCUAUAAGACUGGGAUAACUUCGGGAAACCGGAGCUAAUACCGGAUAAUAUAUUGAACCGCAUGGUUCAAUAGUGAAAGACGGUUUUGCUGUCACUUAUAGAUGGAUCCGCGCCGCAUUAGCUAGUUGGUAGGUAACGGCUUACCAAGGCAACGAUGCGUAGCCGACCUGAGAGGAUGAUCGGCCACACUGGAACUGAGACACGGUCCAGACUCCUACGGGAGGCAGCAGUAGGGAAUCUUCCGCAAUGGGCGAAAGCCUGACGGAGCAACGCCGCGUGAGUGAUGAAGGUCUUCGGAUCGUAAAACUCUGUUAUUAGGGAAGAACAAAUGUGUAAGUAACUAUGCACGUCUUGACGGUACCUAAUCAGAAAGCCACGGCUAACUACGUG
rnacentral:rRNA from 1 species